rnacentral:lncRNA from 1 species
AAUUCUCAUCUCAUUUUUGUAAUGUCUUUUCAACGAACUGUGGCUCCUCCCAAUAUUACAUUAAAAUCUUCAAAGUCUUACUCAAUACCUAUCAGAAUACGGCAAAGCAUCUAUCAAAUUGUUAGAAUAUAAAUCAAAAAUUUCAAAUCAAAUAGGUGUAUGAGGAUUCGGAAAUUUUAAGAUGUAGAUACAUAAAUAUACCUGGGAAGAGAGAAGCCACCGGGCUAUCUAGCCAGUGAUUCCGUUGGUUUGCUCAGUUCAUGUGAAGAGAUAAGGCGUUGUUGAAGAAGGAAAUGGAAAAGGGGGAUGGGGGGUGGCGGCAGGGAAGGGAAACACACAAAGUGAGAAUGAAGUUUUUAUUAGGUUUUGUGAAUUUUGGU